rnacentral:rRNA from 1 species
UACGAAGGGGGCUAGCGUUGUUCGGAAUUACUGGGCGUAAAGCGCGCGCAGGCGGCUAUCCAAGUCAGUGGUGAAAGCCCGGAGCUCAACUCCAGAACUGCCUUUAAGACUGCAUCGCUUGAAUCCAGGAGAGGUGAGUGGAAUUCCGAGUGUAGAGGUGAAAUUCGUAGAUAUUCGGAAGAACACCAGUGGCGAAGGCGACUUACUGGACACAUAUUGACGCUGAGGUGCGAAAGCGUGGGGAGCAAACAGGG